GCCCUUGCGGAUCCCGGCCGCUGCAGAGUUUGAUCCUGGCUCAGAGCGAACGUUGGCGGCGUGGAUAAGACACGCAAGUCGAGCGAGGACUGGGGGGCAACUCCCAGAGCCGAGCGGCGUAAGGGGCAGUAAUGCGUGGGUAACGUACCCCCGGGUUCCGGAUAGCCAGCCGAAAGGCCGGGUAAUACGGAGCGACGUAGCCUGGAGGCAUCUUCGGGCUACCAAAGAUUUAUCGCCCGGGGAGCGGCUCACGUGGUAUUAGCUAGUUGGUAGGGUAACGGCCUACCAAGGCGAAGAUGCCUAGCUGGUGUGAGAGCACGACCCGCGCCACUGGCACUGAGACACUGGCCAGACACCUACGGGUGGCUGCAGUCGAGGAUCUUCGGCAAUGGGCGCAAGCCUGACCGAGCGAUGCCGCGUGCGGGAGGAAGGCCUUCGGGUUGUAAACCGCUUUCGACCGGGAGGAAUACAUGACCGACCGGUGGAAGAAGCUCGGGCUAAGUUCGUGCCAGCAGCCGCGGUAAGACGAACCGUGCGAACGUUGUUCGGAAUCACUGGGCUUAAAGGGCGCGUAGGCGGGCUGGCAAGUCCGGGGUGAAAUCCCGUGGCUCAACCACGGAACGGCCUUGGAUACUGCCGGCCUGGAGGCGGGUAGGGGCGGGCGGAACUCUGGGUGGAGCGGUAAAAUGCGUUGAUAUCCAGAGGAACUCCGGUGGCGAAAGCGGGCCCGCUGGACCUGAUCUGACGCUGAGGCGCGAAAGCCGGGGGAGCGAACGGGAUUAGAUACCCCGGUAGUCCUGNNCCUAAACGUUGGGAACUAGUAGCCGGCCUGACAUGGGCUGNUGCG
rnacentral:rRNA from 1 species